rnacentral:rRNA from 1 species
UACGUAGGGUGCAAGCGUUGUCCGGAUUUAUUGGGCGUAAAGAGCUCGUAGGCGGCUUUGUAAGUCGGGUGUGAAAACCCCAGGCUCAACCUGGGGACGCCACUCGAUACUGCAAUAGCUAGAGUUUGGUAGGGGAUCACGGAAUUCCUGGUGUAGCGGUGAAAUGCGCAGAUAUCAGGAGGAACACCGGUGGCGAAGGCGGUGAUCUGGGCCAAUACUGACGCUGAGGAGCGAAAGCGUGGGGAGCAAACAGG